rnacentral:rRNA from 1 species
AGAGUUUGAUCCUGGCUCAGAACGAACGCUGGCGGCACGCUUCAUACAUGCAAGUCGCGCGAUUAAAGCCCGCAAGGGUAUAUAAAGCGGCGAACGGGUGAGUAACACGUGGAUAAUCUGCCUUUCGGUGGGGGAUAACGGCUGGAAACGGCCGCUAAUACCGCAUGCGGUUACGAGGUCCUCGGGCCUUGUAAAGAAAGGGGCCUUUAAAGCCCCGCCGGAAGAUGAGUCCGCGCCCCAUUAGCUAGUUGGCGGGAUAACAGCCCACCAAGGCUUCGAUGGGUAGCCGAGCUGAGAGGUUGAUCGGCCACACUGGGACUGAGACACGGCCCAGACACCUACGGGUGGCAGCAGUAGGGAAUCUUGGACAAUGGGGGAAACCCUGAUCCAGCGAUGCCGCGUGGAUGAUGAAGGCCUUCGGGUCGUAAAGUCCUUUUCUGAGGGAAGAAUUGUUUGGUGAGGAAAUGCACCGGAUUUGACGGUACCUCAGGAAUAAGCAACGGCUAACUCCGUGCCAGCAGCCGCGGUAAUACGGAGGUUGCAAGCGUUGUUCGGAAUAACUGGGCGUAAAGGGAGCGCAGGCGGCUUGGUAAGUCUAAAGUGAAAUUCCAGGGCUCAACCCUGGACGUGCUUUGGAUACUGCCUGGCUUGAGUACGUGAGAGGAGAUUGGAAUUCCAGGUGUAGCGGUGAAAUGCGUAGAUAUCUGGAGGAACACCGGUGGCGAAAGCGGAUCUCUGGCACGUUACUGACGCUGAGGCUCGAAAGCGUGGGGAGCAAACGGGAUUAGAUACCCCGGUAGUCCAUGCCGUAAACGUUGUGCGCUAGGUGUAGGAGGUAUCGACCCCUUCUGUGCCGCAGCUAACGCAUUAAGCGCACCGCCUGGGGAGUACGGUCGCAAGACUGAAACUCAAAGGAAUUGACGGGGGCCC